AUGGUGAUUAGCAGGCCCCAACGUUACAACCCAACAAGAAUAGUGCACCAGUUUAUUGUGUUUGCAAAGAUAUCAAGCUGCAAAAGACUAACAUACAAGCCUAUGGAGUUGGAACCUAGGCUUCAUCUUUAUACCUUCCUCAACCUUACUUCUGAUCCUCCAUGGAACCAAGAACGAAACACAUAUAGUGUACUCUUAUCCCCUCUUGACAGGAGAAGAGACACGUUUUUCGGCAAAGACUCAAACUCCGUUUACUUCUUCAGUUGUUGUGCUGUGCGAUUUCAUGAUGAUGAUUCAAGAUGUAACAACGUGUUGCUGUUUUGUAAAGAAGAUCGAGAUGCUGAUGCGCUACAGUGA